rnacentral:sRNA from 1 species
GCUUUGCAAUAAGCUCGAGCGAGGUCUUGCUGCGGUCAAACGGCCAAGGUUAUUGAAACAAAGAAGUCGUGGCAUUACAAAUAGAUAUAUUACUGUGAAAGUGCGGUGGAUAAUAAAAAGAGUAUGGACCAGACCUGCCACCAGUGAGCCAGCUGCACGCCUUCAUAAGGUACACCGCGGGAGUGAUUCACCCCGACGAGGUUGUAAUUAGUCAACCUUACUUCAUUGCAUUGACAUCAGAAGCGUCGCUAGGCA